rnacentral:snoRNA from 1 species
AAAAGACCCCAAAGUGGCAGUUGUCGCCUUGGCCACUGUUCUGUGAUCUGUAACUGAUUUGUGACAUUUUGGGAAAAGACAGCU